UACGUAGGGGGCAAGCGUUGUCCGGAAUCAUUGGGCGUAAAGCGCGUGUAGGCGGCUCGAUAAGUCUGCUGUGAAAGUCCAGGGCUCAACCCUGGAAAGCCGGUGGAAACUGUCGGGCUAGAGUCCGGAAGAGGCGAGUGGAAUUCCUGGUGUAGCGGUGAAAUGCGCAGAUAUCAGGAGGAACACCAAUGGCGAAGGAAGCUCGCAGGGACGGUACUGACGUUGAGACGCGAAAGCGUGGGGAGCAAACAGG
rnacentral:rRNA from 1 species